GACGAACGCUGGCGGCGUGCUUAACACAUGCAAGUCGAACGAUGAAGCCCUUCGGGGUGGAUUAGUGGCGAACGGGUGAGUAACACGUGGGCAAUCUGCCCUUCACUCUGGGACAAGCCCUGGAAACGGGGUCUAAUACCGGAUAGCACUUCCACUCGCAUGGGUGGGGGUUGAAAGCUCCGGCGGUGAAGGAUGAGCCC
rnacentral:rRNA from 1 species